CAAAGCCUGGGAUCAAUUCUGUUUUUGCAAGAUGAUCGGAAGAAGGAGGAUUCUGUGAAACUGAAGGCAUUUGUCAAGGACUGCGACUUGCUGCAAGACAAAAAUGCAACAUGUUUGGUAAAUGGAAGAAGACUGAAAAGGUUCAACAGAGUCAAGAGACUGCUGGAGGACUUUUUCUGCCACAGGCAACUGGGAGUGCUAAUGAUCGGAGAAACUUCAUAAAUGUUACUCACUCCUACCCAAUCUCUAGCAAAUGAUAUUCUAGCAAUCUCUAGAAAAAGGGCUCUGCUGACAGCUUGCAGGGCUAGUUGGACUGGAGAAGCUGAUUCCCAUCUCUUCAGAAAGGUAUUCUGCUGUAAGUUGGCACA
rnacentral:lncRNA from 1 species